AUUGAACGCUGGCGGCAGGCCUAACACAUGCAAGUCGGACGGUAGCACAGAGGAGCUUGCUCCUCGGGUGACGAGUGGCGGACGGGUGAGUAAUGUCUGGGGAUCUGCCCGAUAGAGGGGGAUAACCACUGGAAACGGUGGCUAAUACCGCAUAACGUCGCAAGACCAAAGAGGGGGACCUUCGGGCCUCUCACUAUCGGAUGAACCCAGAUGGGAUUAGCUAGUAGGCGGGGUAAUGGCCCACCUAGGCGACGAUCCCUAGCUGGUCUGCGAGGAUGACCAGCCACACUGGAACUGAGACACGGUCCAGACUCCUACGGGAGGCAGCAGUGGGGAAUAUUGCACAAUGGGCGCAAGCCUGAUGCAGCCAUGCCGCGUGUAUGAAGAAGGCCUUCGGGUUGUAAAGUACUUUCAGCGGGGAGGAAGGCGGUGAGGUUAAUAACCUUGCCGAUUGACGUUACCCGCAGAAGAAGCACCGGCUAACUCCGUGCCAGCCGCCGCAGUAA
rnacentral:rRNA from 1 species